rnacentral:lncRNA from 1 species
CAGCGGGUGGGUGUGGUGUCAGCCCUGAUCUGUGGGAUGUGUGACCAAGUCCCACCCUUCCCACCGGCUGGUUUGAAGCCUGUGCUGUAGGACGGUAGCUGGGGAGGCGGAGGGUGCGAGGUCCCUGAAGGACUCAACAUCCAGCAGUGGUUUCAGAGCUAGGAGAGCAAGCCCAUGUGUGGUAUGGAGCUGACGUGUUGAAUUCUGUUCUCAUUCUCAAGAGCCAGUCCUCUGGGUCAG